rnacentral:rRNA from 1 species
AGAGAGAGACAUGCGCGCAUAUCAAUAAGCGGAGGAAAAGAAACUAACAAGGAUUCCCUUAGUAACGGCGAGUGAAGCGGGAAGAGCUCAAAUUUGAAAUCUUCAAGGUUUUACCUUGACGAAUUGUAGUUUAAAGAAGUGUUUUCUGUUAGGAGUUUAGGUAAAAGUUCUUUGGAAUAGGACAUCAUAGAGGGUGAGAAUCCCGUAUUUGACCAGUUACUUUCCAGCUGUGUGAUACACUUUCAAGGAGUCGGAUUGUCUGGGAAUGCAGUCCAAAAUGGGUGGUAAAUUUCAUCUAAAGCUAAAUAUUGGCGAGAGACCGAUAGCGAACAAGUACCGUGAGGGAAAGAUGAAAAGAACUUUGAAAAGAGAGUUAAACAGUACGUGAAAUUGUCAAAAGGGAAGCGUUUGACACCAGUGUUGUUUUCUCGAGAAUCAAUUAAAAAAGGCCGGAUUUUGUGUUGUAUUGACCUUAAAAGCUUUCUUCACUCUUUUCUUGUCUUUUUUAAUGCACUUUUCGUUUAACAAGUCAACAUCAGUUUCUUUUGUUGUAAAAGGGUCAUUGGAAGGUGGCUUUCUUUUCGGAGAAAGUGUUUAUAGCCUUGUACUUCUGCAAUCGGAGAGAUUGAGGUCUGCAGCGUAGAUCCUUCGGGGUUAGAUACACUUGUGCUAAGUUAUAGCCUUUCAUAGACAACUUGUUGACUAUGAUCAGUCAUGUAGCUUACUCGCUUAUGCUAUUUUACCUACGCUUAGGAUGUUGACAGCAGUAUAGACUGU